GCGGCGGCCGCGGCGCCGGGCUGAACUGCGCUGCACGUGCCCCGGGAGAACGCGCGAGCGAGCGAGCAAACGAGCCAGCCAGCCAGCCAUGGAUUCCCAGGACUGUCCCUGCGCCAGCGGUGGUGCCUGCACCUGUGGCAACAACUGUCAGUGCAAAAACUGCAAGUGCAAAUCGUGUAAAAAGAGCUGCUGUUCCUGCUGUCCCGUGGGAUGCACCAAGUGUGCCCAGGGCUGCAUCUGCAAAGGGCCCCCGGCCAGCAAAUGCAGCUGCUGCAAGUAAACUGCCGGUCGCUUGGUUGAGUGCCAACCUGUAUAUUAGCCCACAAUCAUGUAACGCUCAAUGUCCAUUUAUAUGUAUUUGCCUGUGUGUUUUCCAGUCUGUAGAUGUGAGUACAAGGUACAUGGAAAGUAAUAAAGGUAUAUGUAUAUAAGUAAUACACCCCGAA